UGCUUAAAUAGCACCAGCACUUUCAGAGACAACAAAAUAUGGUUCAGGUCUAAUAACGGAAGUCAUGGAAAAUCACUGCACUACUUAGUCUUUGACCAGCUAGAGAAAAUAUUGGAUCUGAAAGUAUAUAAAUUAGCUCCAGUGUUCCAUUAGUAUAUAUUAGCAUCAGUAAUCAGAAACCUAAAAAAGAAGUUUAAUGGAAAAAAUGAAGAACAAGAUUCUGGAUGAACAUAGCACCAUGACUCCCAGAAAGUUCUGAACAGGGUGGAAGGAUGAAGAGGAUUUUCCACAGCCCCCUGCUUGAGGCACAGGCAGGGGCUGUUCCAGAACAAAGAUGAAGACCGAGUCCUCUCAUUGGAAGAAGAUGUUCACCUCAGUGGCUUCUACAAGCAGAACAGGUCCCUUUCUCAAUGAGGAUGCUCUUGUAGGCAACACUUUAAAGUAGGACCCUUACUUCAACCCCAUUUGAUUCUCUUUCUGCAGCCUUUUCCCCUCUCUAAGUAGACUGAGUCGCCAUGGACCUCAUUUCUUUCUUCUCACAACAAGGAGGCCCUGCUUAGGAAAAUAUUGUGAUAAAUAGAUUCAUCCAACCAUUUAUUGGACAAAUAUUACUGAGCUCCAACAAGGUGCCAGGUUGAGAAAUAAGUGAUGGAUCAGGCAUUAUUCCUCCAAGGUCUAACUGGUUAAAGUGUGUGCCCCAUCACUAAUGGAUCAGGUGUCAAUAACCAGGCCUCCCAAGCAUGACUGAGGCCGUGCCACAAAUCACUGAAGCCUCACAAGACAAUUUCUAUUCCUGUCUUGGACCAGAUCAGCUGUGCCCAGGUCAUACUGAGAUUAUUUUUCUGGAAAAUAGUCAGCUCUUCUCCAUUUCAUUGUCACACAGGCAUGAACAAAGAUCCCGGCCCAGGCGUCGUGGUACAAUUGCAUUAAUAUUUGGGUUGGGGGUAAGUACAAAGGAGUGGAGAACCAUAGAAGGUGACAAGUGAGUGCAGAAACAACACAAUGAACAGCAGCAAGCCAGCCUGUGCAAAGCCAAUGGCAGGACACCCAUCAGCAAAUGUGGCCUCUGUGACCUUCCAAAGUAUGUUGUAAUUGGGUGGAUUUCUGGGUGAGUAUAUUGGAAAAACCAAACUGCUUUUCCUCUGAUGUUGUACCACAACCAUCAAUAAAGAAAACUUCUGUG
rnacentral:lncRNA from 1 species